GGGCGGCGGGCGGGCGGGCGGCUGGCGCGCUGUGUACUUAGGUCGUGUGCUGGGGCUUUUCUCUCCCAGGAGCCGGCGGGGGGAGGGGGAGGAGGAGGGGCCACCGCUCCGCCUUCUCCUUUUCGCAAUGUUGACGCAAUCUAUAAAUAGUGGAACAAAAGGACCAACUUCCUCGGAGCUUUGCUGAAACUGCACAAAAAAUCGAGCUGGGGGGUUCCCUGGUCCCUGGCGAUGGGGCGGGGAGCGCAGCGCCAGGGGAGGGGGCGGGCGCGACAGCGCGGGCCCCGCCGAGGGGGACACCUGGCUGAGGCACAGCUGCCGCCGCGCCGCGCGAACCCAAGGCUCCAGUCCCUGCGCGGGUUGGAGCGCUCAUCCCCACCGGGGGUCUUCCUCCGCCGAUGACAGGUCAGUCCGUACCGCCCCUUUUUACACCGGGUUUUCUAUUCCCUCCCCCAAGCCUCUACUUUUAGAAAGGAAUUGGAGGAAAAAUAGAACGAGGCGCAGCAGUGACAGCCACCAAAUCUGCAACCCCAGCAGUCUACCGCGGGGUGGCCGAGGGGGCUCAAGGAGGCGGUCCGCGCCUGGCCCCUCGUCGUACAGCCGGUGCCCGCGCCGCGGCCGGAGACGAAGCCAGGUAAAUAUUGUUGCCAGUUAUUUCCACAAGAAACAUUUUAAGAGAUGAUGUCAGAUCACAGAAUCUUACAUGAAGCUCACAGCUGGCCAAAACAAACAAGUAAAUGCAUGCCUAUCGACUGAUAUGUCAUCUGUGGACCCUAGGGCCCGCAGUCCUCGUGGUCCCUCCACCUCCGCGGCUGAGCAAAGGAGCUGAACGCACGCGCAAGAAAAGAAACAGGACUGCGACGGAGGAAGCGAAGGGAGAGCGGCGAACAACGAUGAUUCUACGCAUGUUCAAGGCGCGGGGGUUGGGGUAGGAGUUUGCGCAUGAGCAGAAGCGUCGGGAAAGGAAGAGAAGGGGGGUUAGGAGGCGGUAUUGACAGCUGUGGAGGCAGCCCGCGUUCCCGGCAUGCCCUGGGGCGGCGGGGUUGGCUCUAACGAAUUUGAAUGAGGAGCCUCAGCGCUUUCGGCGCCAUUUUCGAGUGAUGCCUGAUCUCAUCAAUCUAGCGGGAGAGACGGGAUAACCUGUCCGAGAGUAUAGCGCCGCUAGGACUCCGCCGAAAAAUCACUAAAAAAAUCGCCAAAAAUUACUUGAAGCAAAGGGCAGUCCGCAGAGCUUCGCCAGGGUUGGCGCAGUCGUCUUUGAAACAUGUCGCAAGGAAAAAAGCAAUCUGUGAAACUAUUGAUGUUUUCCUCCCGAAACGUCUUUUUACCCGGGCAACUUAACGGUUUUGACCUUUAGGAGAGAGCCAAUUCUGGAGAACAACCUAACUUCUUUGAUUGAACACUCACAUAAUGCAUUGGAACAUGAUAGGAGAUUAAGGAAAAAGAUUUACACGUUAAGCGACGGGAGAAUGGCAAAUUAUGACAUAGUCAUGAUGAACUGUUUAUUAUACUGCUGUUAAAGUGAGAGUUAUGUCUAUCAUCGUGGAUGAAUGUCUUCAAACAAAAACAAGUUGCAAAAGGUUUAAUAAUGAUAAAAUGAAGACCAUAAUAAAACAGCCCCCUACUUAGCCCAGCAAUUCUUACUUUUCUUACCUGCUUGAUGAAGAUGUCUUUUGAAAGAUGUACUACAAGGAAUGAAACGCUGUUUGUAAAUAAUGCUUUUACCAAGGUGGAUAUUACUAUCCCUUAUUCAUGGAAAAAGUUGUAUUCUAAGUGUUGUUUCUCGUUGAGUAUUAACAAAAAGGAGAAAAAUUAAUGUCCUAAAGUUUUGAGAUAGAUUUGGCUCUAGUAAGUAUUUAGACAUACUGCUUGCAUAUCUGGGAGAAGAAAUGAGACCAUUAUCAGUACAUUUCCAGCUGAAAAAUUCUAUUUUCUUACCUCUUAUCAAGGAAUUUCUUACAAUUUCUGUUGUAUUACCAAUAGCUUAAGCUCAUUUAAUGCAGAAUUAACUCCUCUACCAGAAAUUUAAUAAUUUAUGUUAUUCCCUUGUUUAUGAAAUAUAUCCCACGGAUUUCUGAUGUCUUUUUUUUUUUUUUUUUUUUUAGACUAUAUGCAGUGAAGAAAAUGUUGGCCAAAUAAAUAAGUUUAAACCUUUUAUGUUAAAAUUACUGUGCAAAGUGACAAGUUAGUUGCUGGGGGGUUUCUUGUCUUUAAUAUACUAAAAUUAAAUGCAACAUUUAUAAUUUCUAUUUGGGUCUAUUUCUUGAUUAUUAAUACAUUGAAUUCAU
ensembl:lncRNA